rnacentral:rRNA from 1 species
CACGUAGGUGGCGAGCGUUGUCCGGAUUUACUGGGCGUAAAGGGAGCGUAGGCGGACUUUUAAGUGAGAUGUGAAAUACUCGGGCUCAACUUGAGUGCUGCAUUUCAAACUGGAAGUUUAGAGUGCAGGAGAGGAGAAUGGAAUUCCUAGUGUAGCGGUGAAAUGCGUAGAGAUUAGGAAGAACACCAGUGGCGAAGGCGAUUCUCUGGACUGUAACUGACGCUGAGGCUCGAAAGCGUGGGGAGCAAACAGG